rnacentral:rRNA from 1 species
CAUUAAAGAUUUAGGCUUUAGUGCCCUAUUCUCACCCUUUGUCUAUGUAUACUUUUGUUGCCUUGGCAGGCUUCCAACAGCCUGCCAGUGGAAACCAAACCCUAGAAUGUUCUGCUGUCUGAGUACUAUAAAAAAUAGUUAAAACUUUCAACAACGGAUCUCUUGGUUCUGGCAUCGAUGAAGAACGCAGCGAAAUGCGAUAAGUAAUGUGAAUUGCAGAAUUCAGUGAAUCAUCGAAUCUUUGAACGCACAUUGCGCCCUCUGGUAUUCCAGGGGGCAUGCCUGUUCGAGCGUCAUUACACAACCCUCACGCUCAGCGUGGUCUUGGGCUCGCCCUGUAGGGCCUGCCUCAAAGUCAGUGGCGGCGCUAUCUGACCCCUAAGCGUAGUAAUAUACACCUCGCUUUUGGGCGCUGGAUGGAGGCCUGCCAAUGAACCCCCCCCCACUUCUUACAGGUUGACCUCGGAUCAGGUAGGGAUA